AUCUAUUUUAGUUCAUAAGAAUGAUGAUUGGGUGUUCACAUGUUUGUGUGACAUGUGCCUCUAUUAAAUCUUGUUAUACAUUUGGCACAUUAUCCUCUGACA